GAGAAGGCUGCGGCGGCCACCACCCAGCCCCAGCCCCCGUCGGGGGGUCCGGCUGUCUUGGGGGACAUCGUCUGCGGGAGUGAACACACGCCUAGAUCACCACAGGGACCCGAGCCACCUGGGACCGGUGCGGAAGGCGGGGGCGAGCUGAGACAGCCAAUCGGUGGAGCCACGGGUGAGGCCAGACUCUAAGUCCCAGGGGGAUUGAAUUAUCCACACACAGCUCUUGGCCAGAGCUGAGGGCGAAGAAUGAACGCCGCCCCGCCCAGCUCAUUCCCAUGUACCUGCGGCCAGCCGCGCAGAGAGGAGACACGUGGAUUGCAAUCCUUACCAAGCCCGCGAUGUGCUGCCCACGCAUGGAAGCAGAGGUGGUCCCCCACACCACAAGGAUGAGUAGUUCUGUUCUCGGGAACCUUGCUGAGGAUCCGGUAAAUCUCGGAGAGCAAUUAAAUCCCUGACCUCAAGAGGUGCCUGCUUCUUGCUCAGUAGCAUGUCCUGAAGGAGGGAGGGAAGAGGGCUCCGGAUGAAGACCUGGGAUGUGCCAGGCACUCCUUUUAACAUGUUGUCGGUUCAUCCUUACACUAGCCCCAUGAAAAAGGCACCAUCCCCCCUUUACAGAUGGAGUAACAAGCCCAGAGAGGGUAGGGAUUUGCCCCCAAUUCACUCAGUGUUUUUUUAAAAAAUGGCUUUAGGUUUGUCCAGCUGCGAGACCAUAAAGGGAGGACAGACCUAGCAGUGAAAUAGAAUCUGCAACAGUUGAUGGAAAUGGCCUGGAGUGGUGCGGUCUGACCUGGAAAUGACAGAACCUUUGCAGGGCCAGGGUCUGGGAACUGAAGAGAUCUUUGUCAUCAGAACCUCUGAAAACUUAGGCUAGAAUUUUGAAAGCAAAGUAAGAAUUGGGGAAUUGAACCCAGGUGUUGAUUUCUUGAAAAGCAUUGUAACAACCUCUUUUAAAAAAACAGGUUAGCAUAUCUGUACUUUAGAUGAUUUAAUCGAGAGAUUUGUUCUUCGGUUUAAUUAUUAAACAGUACCAAUAAAAAUCCAGCAAUGUACAAGUUGGAGCAGGCAUCAGCUGGCAACCACUUGAUGGCAGUGUUUCCUAACCAUUGAAAAAGUAUUUGCAGUGUAAGAAAAAGUAAAGCAACUGCUUAAAGUUGAGAAAGUGUAAGCCUAAAAAAAGGCAUGACUUUUGAAGGCUCUUCAUUGUUUAUAAGGAAGGGAACAAUCUAAUUUCUUUACUUUGUGGAUAAGGCCUUUCACAAUAGUCAAAGCCCUGGGCUACCUUUCCCUUCCAUUUCUCUACCACCACCACUGCCCUCUUCUACCGUCCCAGCCAGCAAGUUUUCACCUGCUCGUGGACAAGAGCCCAUGCGAGUUUAAGGUCCUGCCAGGUACACCAUAGAAAAGUGGCCCCACCGGUUUCCCCAGUGUAGAGUGUUUUUGUGAAGGCCAUCAGGGUGGAGUCAGGAGCUCCUCAAACCACCCAGGAGGGCAGGGAGAGAAUGGUUCCUUCGAAGGCUGCUGAGGACUCUGCUGCAAGCUGAAUGAGGCCAACUAAGACUCGCCACUUCCCCUGUGGUGAAGCUGAAAUGCAGUCAGAGAGGAGACUGGGCCCCCUCGGGCCUGAGAGUUGUACCAAGUAAUGCUGAGCACUUUUGCAGAAUGUGUAUGAACACACAAGGGGAUCCCAGGACCUGGGACUUGCAUGAUUUGUUGUAAAAGAGUAUAUUCUUCUACCUCGUGUUUCCUAUAUUCUUAAUCAGGAUUGCCAUCUGUUGCUUCUGGAGGCAGUACAGUAUAACGAUGGGAAGAAAGGACCCCACGCUAGACUUCCUAGGUUUGGAGUCUAGUUUUGCAACAGCUUAGCUAUAUGAUUGUAAGGAGGUUACUCAAGUUCUCUGUGCCUCUGUUUCCUCAUUUCUAAAAUGGGUGUAGUAGUAGCUAUCUGAUAGAGCUGACAGAAGGAUUAAAUGAGUCACUGUGUAUUCAUGUGUGAGUAAGGGACUUAGAACAGUGUUUGAGUGUGGGAGGUGCUAGUCCCCACUCCUGCCGUUGUUGUAACACAAAGGAACCUGGCUGGACUCUGUCCUGUUGCCCUUUUCCCACCUGGCUACUUCUAUAAAUGUCUCAAAGUCCAGGAAACCCAUUAGUCUGGUGAGUUCCCAGGAGAACCACAGGGAUGGUAAAAUGUGAAUAUCUAUAAAGAGAUUAAAUGGAAAACUUUUUAGUA